GCAGCGGAGACGGCGGUUGGGCUGCAGUUGGAAGAAUAGGAAUCGUGGGCCUGGGCCUGGGCCUGGGCCUAGACGGGGCGAGGGUUGGGAAAGGGAAAAGAAGUAGAGGGGGUGCUUAUUUUUCUGCGCAAGGCUACCGGUAGUAGUUGUUUCUCCUGAGUACGCGCCUCCUUUUAGCAGGAGAAGCGUCCCAUAGUCUCGGAGCGUAAGAUGCUUCAGGAGAGCGAAGGGCAUCUAUCGCGCAUGCGCCUUAACUGUCGGGAUGCUUAAACGGAGGCAGUUGUUUCGGGAGGGGGAAGCCGGGGGGAGGCCUAGCAACGCCGAACAGGAAGAGCGAAGGGCGCUACAGGAUACUUCCGUUUGAAGAUGGGCAGUGGAAGUGGCACGUGCUUCUGCUAAAAGUGUGUGUGUUAACAGGGUAGUGGUGAAAUGCUUGUUCUCGGCAGUUUACAGCAAUGAAAACAUAAAUAACUUUAGUGCCUCAAACAAAGCUAUUAUAAGCUAAAAAAUUUACAAGUGAGUGCAGUUUAAAUAAUUGAAAUUAAUGUAUAAGAUUUGUUUCCCACUGUAAAGGCACUUUAACUGCUGUGGAGUAAAUUGUGAAAAAUGCAUCCUCAAUUUGUAUUUUUUAUGUGAGUAACCGUAUGUUGUAAUUUUGAUACAAUAAAAUUAAAAUGGUUUGAAAUUUA